AUUGAACGCUAGCGGGAUGCUUUACACAUGCAAGUCGAACGAGUGGCGGACGGGUGAGUAAUAUAUCGGAACGUGCCCAGUAGCGGGGGAUAACUACUCGAAAGAGUGGCUAAUACCGCAUACUAUUGGAGCGGCCGAUAUCGGAUGAGCUAGUUGGUGGGGUAAAGGCUCACCAAGGCAACGAUCCGUAGCUGGUCUGAGAGGACGACCAGCCACACUGGGACUGAGACACGGCCCAGACUCCUACGGGAGGCGGCAGUGGGGAAUUUUGGACAAUGGGGGAAACCCUGAUCCAGCCAUCCCGCGUGUAUGAGAAGGCCCUAGGGUUGUAAAGUACUUUCAGUCGGGAGGAGGUAAAGAAAGAAGAAGCACCGGCUAACUCCGUGCCAGCAGCCGCGGUAAUAG
rnacentral:rRNA from 1 species